GAUGAACGCUGGCGGCGUGCCUAAUACAUGCAAGUCGAGCGAACAGACGAGGAGCUUGCUCCUCUGACGUUAGCGGCGGACGGGUGAGUAACACGUGGAUAACCUUCCUAUAAGACUGGGAUAACUUCGGGAAACCGGAGCUAAUACCGGAUAAUAUAUUGAACCGCAUGGUUCAAUAGUGAAAGACGGUUUUGCUGUCACUUAUAGAUGGAUCCGCGCCGCAUUAGCUAGUUGGUAAGGUAACGGCUUGCCAAGGCAACGAUGCGUAGCCGACCUGAGAGGGUGAUCGGCCACACUGGAACUGAGACACGGUCCAGACUCCUACGGGAGGCAGCAGUAGGGAAUCUUCCGCAAUGGGCGAAAGCCUGACGGAGCAACGCCGCGUGAGUGAUGAAGGUCUUCGGAUCGUAAAACUCUGUUAUUAGGGAAGAACAAAUGUGUAAGUAACUAUGCACGUCUUGACGGUACCUAAUCAGAAAGCCACGGCUAACUACGUG
rnacentral:rRNA from 1 species